rnacentral:lncRNA from 1 species
UGCUCGGCCGGAUUGGCUGCGUGGAAACGCUUCGGCUUUCUAUUCUGGAGGAUCCGGGUUCGAGUCUCGGAUCUCACCCUUCAAAAUAUUAAAUGCUUUUUAAAUUAUUCAGAUUUUUAUGUUUGUUAAGUUGCUAUUUGUAUGUUUGUGUUUUCUGUUACUACUUUCGACCAGUGUUGGUUUUACAAUCUUUGGUCAAGAUGUAUAUAAAUAAAAAAAUAAAUAAAUAAAGGCCGGGCCUGCCACGUCUUUUCUAUAUUACCGUCGGCCGCCUGGACCUAGCGCCUCCAUCGCUCCAUUAACGGGUGAGGCGCAUCAUCCGGUUGUUUCCCACCCCCGAACGGUAGUUACUGGGACGCUAACGGGCCCACCAAAUGUUCCACCGGGUACGGCCCUCCUCGACUCACUUCCGCCCGCGUGAUCCAGCCCAUUGGCCCAACGGCCCGUUGGAUGAGAAGAACGGAUAGGGAACCGGGAUAGAAGGGGAAAACGGAGAUCCGUACUUUUUCAUUUAUUGAUACCGACCAAAUAAGUAUCGGCGGCCGUAGCGCGUUUACCGAAAAGCGCUAAGCGCGUCCUCCGAGAAACUCCAGUAGCCGAGCGGGCCCUUCACCACCGUUAACCCGGUGAGCAGCCAUUGGACCACCGGACUCGGGACGGAGCUUUCCAUCGGGGCCAGCGUAGACCGCGGGUAGUCGGCCGAGCCCAUCUGGAUUUCUGACCGGCUCGGGUACAGCGCGGGAUUAUCCGCUGUUUUACCGAAAGUUUAGGUCCGAGUUAGAAACGUAGGUGGUCCCGGGUCUUUUGGCUAUCCCAGAAUACGGUGGAAAAUACGCGGGGCUAGAUUGGCCGCCACGCCUCCGAAAUAGGCGGGCGGAGGUGCGCGUAAUCGGAGGCGUGAGGACCGGCGGACGGUAAUUAUUGGCGGCGCCCUACCGAAGGUGUCACUGGGGGCGGCCGGCUUUCUGUCGGGAGAACGAAAUGCCUGUUCCCGCCGAUAAAAGACGGGAUUCGACCGGUACCUGGCCAUCCCCCCAGCCAAAUGGCCCAGUCCCGGGCGGUGGUGGUAAUCGAAUCUUCGGCCACUUACUCUUAACGGCGCCAUUUUCGGUGGUGCUCUCGGCCGAAUUUAUGAAUUCAUUUAACAGGGGGCCUGGAAAUUUCCGGGAAAGCCACCAUAUUAACAGAGGCGGAAAUUCGAAUAGUAAUGGCGGAUAGGAAAUCGUCUCCCAGCUUCUUACCCCCCGCAUUUUUUAACCCGGGCCCUAUUAUUUUUGCUCGGUAGUCCAACCGCCUUUCGAAUAAACUGUUCGCUUAAUCUUACUGGGUACUUAUUGGUCCACUUAGUCGCUUUGAUAAUUUUAUCGGCGGUGGUGCGAUUUCAGAAAUAAACGCCGCAGCCAUCCGAAUUUUAACCGCGAUUAUACCGAAUAAAAUCCUCUCUAACCUAUAACUCCCGACGCCAUCUUUAAAUCCAAAUCUGGUUUUUACCGUCUAAAACCAGAUUCCGCGGAAAAACCCAUCCCCUUAUUGGUGGGAAUCCCGGCCUUUGGACGGACAAUGGCGUGGCUUAUCAAAGAAUUACGGGGGUUGGGUCCGUUCGAUUCCCGCCGGAAUGCCGGAGAAGUGACCCGUGGGCGGGCCCCGGAUAUACCUAGGUGGAGUCGGCCCUGCUAAAAUUUUUAAAUAUUUAUAUUCGAUGGUUGGUUUUUUAAAAAUUUUUGAAAUUUUUGGUCGAUGGUUAGCGCUAGGUUAGUAUAGUAGAUGGCUCGAAUUCCAACCCGCGUCCAGCCUAAUUACGCCUUCUUUUUCAACUUUUUAGAAAAUAGGGCCUGAAUCCGGGACCUAGCUGGCGCUUAAUCGUCGACGCGCGUAAUACGCGCCAUAGACUGCUGGGUGUAAAAAACCCGGGCCGUCCUGUCGGUGGCCGGACUUAUACUUUGGUCAAAAGUCAAUCGGCUACGCUUCCGAAUGGCCGCGUAGCCGAUUGACAAAAUUUGGCUGGCCAGACGUAGCCGGUUUAUUUUGGUAAGCGCCACCUACUAGUUAAUAGAAAGGGUGUACUACUCGAACAUAUGAAGUACUAAACCUUUUUAUGGUCAUCAUUUUUUAUCGAUACGUGGUUUGGAAUGAAACGCUCAAUUUUCGCAUUUCCCUGGUGGUUUAACGUUCGGAGGCGGGAGAAAAAUAGAUUUAAAGAUCAACCGUUAAAAAUAAAAGCCGGGUUAGGUGUAUUUCGAAAAUGUUACGAAAAAAUAACAAACACAAAUGGAGUGAAUGAAAUUUUAUUUUCUAUCCUUAAAAAUUUUCCCGG